GGAGGGGUGGGAGAGCGGCCGAAUCCACCGGUCUUGAAAACCGGCAGACCUCUGGUCUCGCGGGUUCAAAUCCCGCCCCCUCCG
rnacentral:tRNA from 2 species